GACAAAGCAGAGAAAGGCAAAAACAGUUGUUGAGUCUGGUGAAGAAAAUGAUGACACACAUGAAGGGGACGACAAAAUGACAACGCAAACACCACCAACAGUUGAAGAACUCACCGAAAGUGACAGUGAAGAACAACUUUCAGCGACAAUGACAAGAAGGAGAAAAGUAAAAACAGCUGUUUACUCUGGAGAUGAAAGUGAUGACACAAAUGAAGGAGAUUUCAAAAUUACAAUUCAACCAUCACCAACAGUUGAAGAACUCACCGAAAGUGACAGUGAAGAACAACUUUCAGCGACAAUGACAAGAAGGAGAAAAGUAAAAACAGCUGUUGACUCUGGAGAAGAAAGUGAUGACACAAAUGAAGGAGAUUUCAAAAUUACAAUUCAACCAUCACCAACAGUUGAAGAACUCACCGAAAGUGACAGUGAAGAACAACUUUCAGCGACAAUGACAAGAAGGAGAAAAGUAAAAACAGCUGUUGACUCUGGAGAAGAAAGUGAUGACACAAAUGAAGGAGAUUUCAAAAUUACGAUUCAACCAUCACCAACAGUUGAAGAACUCACCGAAAGUGACAGUGAAGAACAACUUUCAGCGACAAUGACAAGAAGGAGAAAAGUAAAAACAGCUGUUUACUCUGGAGAAGAAAGUGAUGACACAAAUGAAGGAGAUUUCAAAAUUACAAAUCAACCAUCACCAACAGUUCAAGAACUCACAGAAAGUGACAAUGAAGAAGAACAAAUUUCGGAGACAAAGGGAGAAGAGCACACAAAAAAAAAUGAUAAAGAGGACACGUACAGGACGUGCGUAGUCGGUCCAAAAGAAUUCAAAUUUAAGGUCGCAAGAAAAAAUUGGAUAAAAAUAAAGCCGGAAAAGGGAAAAAGACAACUGAGACCCCCAUGGACCGAUAUAUUCUACAAUGAAUUUAGAAAAAGCAACCCAUCGUGCACAUUGGCCUUUAAGUACCAAAAUAUUAGAACACGUGACAGCCGGAAAAAAAAAUCACCAUACCUCCGCGCCACAGCCAAGUGCACGUUUGAAGGUUGUGAGGCGGUUUACACUUUCACCAGGAAAGGCCCACCAAAAUACAACGCAAAAAAGAUUACUGUCAUGGUGACACGGUUUGGGGAAGUCAAACACCUUAAGUCUCAGAGAAAAUGUAGGCCUGCAAGAUACCUCAGGAGAGGAAAAAUAGCAAAAGCAGUAAAAAGUGGUGUGAGCAACUGCUAUUACGAAUUGCUGAAAAACACACCUGUGGAGGAGAUCAUGGCUGGUAACAUAACCAGAAGCCUCACAAAAGACGUGUUAAAAAUCAUAUCUUACGAGAUCAGAAGCGUUGCAAGGCUUCACAAUGACCAAUUGUUGGAGCUAAUGCUCACUCAGAGGAUUAUCAGAGAGAGUGGUCGGCAAACUCGGCAUGCAUCAUCGAACGGCUAUCUGCAGCUCCUCCAGAUUGACCCUUUUGCAACCCACUUAUACACUGAUGCGGGCCUGCAAAUUUUGGCUGAACAUUUGAGAGGACCCAUGCCCACUACCCUAUACCUCGAUGCAACAGGUGGGGUAGUUCAGAAAGUACCCCAUCAGUCAAAAAGAGUUCUCUAUUAUGCCCUGGUUCUGCCUGGAAUGGGCAAGGACAAGCCGCCUUUGCCAGUCGCGGAGUUCGUGACUAACAGCCAUAGUGUUCCAUCAAUAUCGCACUGGCUUAUGGAGUUCAAUAGGAGGCUGUCCCACAUUACCGGGAGAAAAAUUGCACAAAUAGAGACAGAUUACAGCUGGGCGUUGAUGAACAGUGUGCUCAUCUCUUUUAACCACGAGGAUGUCUCUGCAUACCUUUGCAGAGCAUUCGAAAUUGUGUCGGGACAACUCAAAGUCAUUCCAAAAUUCACUGUGCUCCAUUUGUGCUCUGCACAUAUACUUAAGGCAGUCUCCCAGGCCUUUGGGAGAACAACCAGUGACAGAGGCAUAAAGGAGUAUGCAACAUACAGUUUUGCAUACCUGCUGAACUGUACAAGCUUGCCAGAAGCACUUGAGGUUUUCUACCACAUGUGUGUGCUGUUUGAUGCAGAACAGCACACAGACUCAAUCAAUACCAGUGAAAGGUACCUGAAUGGCUGCAUUUUGCAGAGUCAACACAUGGAUAUUGAGGAAACACAAGAGGGGAGCAGGAUCUGUGAUUCCAGUGACCCUUCCAAUGGCAUUCUCGCAAGGUCCCCCUUCAUGCAGGCUUUUGACCUAAGAAGGGAGCAAGCCACAUGUGACGUCCUGUCUGAUGAGGAAGCAGACAAAAACAACAACUACCACUGCCCAGGUAUAAUAAAUGUCUUGCUUAAGACAUACAUGGGCAUCUUUCCCUUGUGGAGUGGUGUACUACUCGCUGAUCUAUCGAGGCACUCUAAAGGAUCUAUCACAAGAGGAACAGGGUGCAAAACACGGGAAACCAACUGCCAUGUCGAACUAUGGUUUAGGUUGGUGAAACACAGCAUUCUGUGCAAAAGAAAAUACCUCAGACCUGCAGAGUUUGUCUCUAAAAUGUUUGCCUCAGUGCAGGGGAGGUAUGUUGAACAUGUGAUUCAACAAAGCCUGCCAAUUGAUGUACUUCAGAGAAACCUUCAAAGCUCUGUUAAGCUGGAAGAUGACCCAGAAGAGCAAUGGUGUAAGAGGGACACCUCUUCUGGCAGUUCAAAGCGCAAGUCAAAAUAUUUCAAUCCUCCAAAAAACAUUCCAAACCCCAAGACCAAGACCAAAAGCAAGAAGAUCAUAAAAGUGGAGCAGAAUCAACGGGUUGAAGAUGCACAAUUAAACUUGCUGUGGAAAAAGAGGGGAACAGAGAUAAUUGUUGCAACCCUGCCAUCCCAAGUGAAGGGUCGGAGCCUCUUCAUCCACCACACUGAUCUACGGUGUCUACGACCCCACCUGUGGUUGACAGGAGAGGUAGGCGUAUUAAAAGCUCUUCCUCUCACUGCUAGUCUAUCUGUCUUUCAAUUUGUAGUCCUUCAAACUGAUGUAUUUGGAGGACUGAAGACCUCCAUUAACUCACACACACACACACACACACACACACACACACACACACACACACACACACACACACACACACACACACACACACACACACACACACACACACACACACACACGUAA
ensembl:lncRNA